UAAGCAGAAUUCUUUUCUACCUAUCCUUGUUGGAACCUUUGAUACAGAGUAUCGAAAUUUUAAUCCCUUUCAUACUUAUAAAAUGUUCUUAAAUGUCA